CUGCUCUGCCGCUGGACCGCAGCGUCCCGGAGCCGCUGGAGGAGAGGCGAGCCGUCGUUUGGACAGAGUCCACAUCUGUCCUGGACUCUCCUGUCACUAGGUUUUUGCCCAAGACUCGGUUGGCAAUGAGCUCCAAGCUCCCGGCCUGGCAAGUCUGCUGGGAAAGAGAGCGUCCUUCCCAGUCAUUCCAGCAAAAGUCUCAGGACUGAGCCCCAUUGUUCUGUCACGGGUCUCGUGACCAUCCCUGGACCAGUCAUUGAGGCUGGGGAGACACAGGGCUCUGAUUGGCCAGCCUGUCAUGAGAGGAGUGGAGUUAAUUCGAACCCCAUCACCUGGGCUGAGAGAUAGAAAGGGGGCUGCCCCAAGGAGAGGGCAGGGCCGUUCCCAGGAGGAGGGAGACGGCCUGCUGGGAAGGGCGCAGUCCACCGACUUCCACAGUAGGUUUUCCUCGAAAUCCCAGAUCCAGGGCUCUUCCAGGUAGGCUGCCAGCGCCUUCUCAUUUUAUUCCCUACCCUGCCCUGAGAGGUCAGCGUUCGAGAGAAGGCCACUGAGGUUCGCACAGAUUAAGCACCUCGCCGGGGUGGGGGGUGGGGGGCAGCUCCUGAAGGGGCCUGGGCUGCCCGUGUGCCCCUUUAUCAUCUUAGACCUGCCUCCCCACUCUUCCUUCUGCCAG
rnacentral:lncRNA from 1 species